GGACGGUGACGAUUGAUAUCUGUCCUUGGUCGUUGUAACUGGCAUCUUCUUUUCUUUCCAACAAUUCUGUUAUAUAUCACCAGCAUAUUCCGAUUCC
rfam:Hordeum vulgare subsp. vulgare, WGS project CAJW01000000 data, contig: morex_contig_44740